ACCGGGUGUGGUGGCGGGCGCCUGUAAUCCCAGCUACUUGGGAGGUCGAGGCAGGAGAAUUGCUUGAACCCAGGAAGCAGAGGUUGCAGUGAGCUGAGCUAGCACCACUGCACUCCAGCCUGGGUGACAGAGUGACAUUCUGUCUCAA
rnacentral:sRNA from 1 species